rnacentral:rRNA from 1 species
AGGCUUAACACAUGCAAGUCGAGCGCCCCGCAAGGGGAGCGGCAGACGGGUGAGUAACGCGUGGGAACGUACCCUUUACUACGGAAUAACGCAGGGAAACUUGUGCUAAUACCGUAUGUGCCCUUCGGGGGAAAGAUUUAUCGGUAAAGGAUCGGCCCGCGUUGGAUUAGCUAGUUGGUGGGGUAAAGGCCUACCAAGGCGACGAUCCAUAGCUGGUCUGAGAGGAUGAUCAGCCACAUUGGGACUGAGACACGGCCCAAACUCCUACGGGAGGCAGCAGUGGGGAAUAUUGGACAAUGGGCGCAAGCCUGAUCCAGCCAUGCCGCGUGAGUGAUGAAGGCCCUAGGGUUGUAAAGCUCUUUCACCGGAGAAGAUAAUGACGGUAUCCGGAGAAGAAGCCCCGGCUAACUUCGUGCCAGCAGCCCGCGGUAAUACGAAGGGGGCUAGCGUUGUUCGGAAUUACUGGGCGUAAAGCGCACGUA